rfam:Clostridium sp. SY8519 DNA, complete genome.
GCAGGAAUGGCGGAAUUGGCAGACGCGCACGGUUCAGGUCCGUGUGAGCAUUGCGCUCAUGAGGGUUCAAGUCCCUCUUCCUGCA